GUGAAUCAUCGAAUCUUUGAACGCAAAUUGCACUCUCCUCGGAGAGUAUGCCUGUUUGAGGGUCAGCCUAUAAAAAUCGACAUCGUCGCGGUUUGGCGGGGGCGUUCGUCGGGAAUUGGGGCGUCGUAAAUCCUUUUGAUUUAAGCGACUUGGAGUUUUCUUUUGGUUGCAUGAACGUUUCUAAGAUCUAUUUCUUUACACGUUUAGGGUAUCGGUUUUUACUAGACGUGACGAUCAUAUCUGAUCGUGGCCAUAAUCUUUCAUUUACU
rnacentral:misc_RNA from 1 species